UUGGCCACUAGCAGACCUCAUACAGCUAGUCAAUCUCUCACUGACUUUUUAAACCAAUAUAUCUAAUUAUUUAAUUGAGCUGUUGGGGAAAUUUAACAAAAUCAUGGAACGACUGAGGUGCCCCCGAGGAGAAGUUUGGGAACUGAAGCGGUGUUCAUCUAGCCAUCCAACUAGAUAUCAGUAACUUUUUAGAAAACAGAAGAAAUUAUUACUAGUUUUUAUUGUGUUACUUUUAAUUUGCACACAUUCUAAUAUUAAAUUGUGUUUUUUGUUCUAAGCCAAAGUACACUUGCUACCCAGAUAAACAGCUUUAAACAUUUCUUUGGACUGACUAAGACUUUUACACAGGACUGUAUGUUUGACAAAAGAUAAAUGCCUGUGUUCAGUGAGCUGAAUAACAUGAAAAAUAUAGUUUUAUACGUUUUUUUCUCUGACUAAAAUGUAACUAAAUGUAAUCCUGAUUGAGGGGGGGCUUUCCCUCUCCCCUGUAUAUGUACAUUUUAUAUAUUUAUGUCCAUUUACUGUAUUCCCUCCCUGUACAAUGACAGUAAAGGCUUUCUGUUCUGUC